rnacentral:rRNA from 1 species
UACGUAGAUGGCGAGCAUUAUCCGGAAUUACUGGGCGUAAAGGGUUGCGCAGGUGGAAAGCCGCGUCGCACUUUAAAAGUUAAGGCUCAACCUUAACCUGUGGUGUGAUACGGGUUUUCUCGAGGAAGUCAAGGGCAAGCGGAACUUCUAGUGGAGCAGUGAAAUGCGUUGAUAUUAGAAGGAACACCAAAGGCGAAGGCAGCUUGCUGGGGCUUCUCUGACACUGAGGCACGAAAGCGUGGGGAGCGAAACGG